UACGUAGGCAGCGAGCGUUGUUCGGAAUUACUGGGCGUAAAGAGUGUGUAGGCGGUGCUCUAAGUUCGGUGUGAAAUCUCCUGGCUCAACUGGGAGGGUGCGCCGGAAACUGGAGUGCUUGAGCGUGGGAGAGGAAAGCGGAAUUCCUGGUGUAGCGGUGAAAUGCGUAGAUAUCAGGAGGAACACCUGUGGUGUAGACGGCUUUCUGGACCAUAGCUGACGCUGAGACACGAAAAGCCGUGGGGUAGCAAACAGG
rnacentral:rRNA from 1 species